AGUGGUUCUUAACAGUUCAACAGUUCUCUAGCAUAAUUGUGAAAUGUUUAGGACCACUUGA
rnacentral:pre_miRNA from 1 species